CCCAACCCAUCUCCGUCCGUGCAAAACCCCUCUCGCGUCCAGUUCAACCCCAUCGCGCAAAGCCUCCAAUCCAACCUCAUCGGCGCCGGCCUCCGCUCCGCCGAAACCCCCGCCACCCCCCACCCCUUCCUCCUCCGCGAGGGAUUCGGGGGAUUUCGCAGCCGCCCAGCCCAAUUCCGCUCCGGCGCGCCAAAACCCUCGCUCCAAUGCCCCAGCGGCCCGCCGCCUGAGGACGCCACCGACGCCGCAUGGGGAGGAUAAAGUCGCGGCCGUCGCGGGCGAGGGCGCUCGGCGCCUGCGCCUCCACCGCGGAGCCCGACGCGCCGAGCCCUAGCGCUGGCUCCUCCAAAUCGAAGCGCGCGGCCAAGGGCGAUGUGAGGAGGGACGUCCUCGUGGAGGCGGGCGGCGGCGCCGACGGCCAUCCCCGCGACCUCGCCGAGUUGGUCCUCCGCGACGUGAGGCUCGGCGGCGAGGGGAGGCCGGAGGGGGCCGGCCUCGGGGCGCCGGAGGGGGAGCGCUCGGAGGAGAACGGGGGGAGGCGCCCGCUGCGCCUGCGGGUGCGCGACGCGCCGGAGGACGGGUUCAGGCUGGGCCACUGGCCCGUGGUGCCGUCCGACUGCGUGCUGCUGGAGUACCACGCGGAGGGGCUUGGAGGCGGCGCGUUUGUCUCGGGCUGCUUCGAUGGCCCCGACGAAGGCGUAUCCGGCCUUGCCCAUUUGGUCAGCCUGGGGUUCGUGGAGCUGCGGGUUUGUGAGUAUAGCUCAUCGCCUGGUGAUGGUCCGGCGCCGGCCAUGGUGCUUCGGGUCAGAGUGGAGGUGAUGGACCGGGCUUUCGGCGCAUGUGAAUCGCUGCUGGAGGUUGCGAGGCAGCCCUGGAGGAAGAGUUUGAUGAAUAUGAUGGCUUGGGUUCGCCCUGAGGUCACGACGUUGGCUGUCAUGUACGGGAUGGAUGGUCUUGUUCCGCAGAUGGACGGCAAUGAUGAUCGUGACUUCGCCCCGAAGAGCGACUCACAGUUUGAUCUUGCUGCUUUCUACGAAGCUGUUAAGCCUUCGAUGGAUGCAGAACAGCUGGAAGAUGAACUUCCUGAUUUACUUCCUCAUCUCAGACCGUACCAACUUCGUGCAGCAAAUUGGAUGGUUCAGCGUGAAAAGGGAAAUACAACUAUUCCAUCACCCAAUGAGGACUAUGUUCAUUAUGCACCCUAUUGUGUUCCCAUAGAUUUUAUUAGCAAUAAUUCAAGGAUGUUUUACAAUCCCUUCAAUGGAAAUGUUUCAUUGCAACCAGAGCCUUCUCCACCUUAUGUCUAUGGGGGAAUUUUGGCUGAUGAAAUGGGCUUGGGUAAAACGGUCGAGCUUUUGGCUUGCAUUUUUGCCCAUCGUAGCACAUUUUCCACAGAUUGUUCUGUCUCUGGAACCAGAAAAGAAAUAGAUCUGAUAAGUAGGCCGAAAAGAGAUAGAGUUGAAUGCGUUUGUGGGGCUGCAAGUGAAAGUUCUGCAUACAAGGGGAUAUGGGUCCAAUGUGACACUUGUGAUGCUUGGCAACACGCUGAUUGUGUUGGUUACUCACCCAAGAAAGACUUAACCUUUGACGAUGAUGAUGUGUUGCCAAAGAAUGAAGAAAGCACCAUGAAGUCUAAAAGUAGAAGGCAGAAGAGAGCGAAAUUUUCUAUUGCAGAGACGGAAGAAAACUACAUUUGUGCGGUGUGCUUGGAACUCGCUGAAGCAGCUCAAACUACUAUUUUCAGUCAUGCUACAUUGAUAGUAUGCCCGUCACCAAUAUUGGCACAGUGGCACUCCGAGAUUACCCGACACACAAGGCCAGGAUCUCUGGACGUUCGCAUUUAUGAAGGUGCAAGGAACUUGGACUCAGCUAACCAAAGAAAUGAUCUGAGUGAAAUAAGCACUGCUGAUGUUGUUUUGACAACUUAUGAUGUCCUCAAAGAAGAUCUAUCACAUGAUUCUGAUCGGCAUGAUGGUGAUCGCCGUUUCUUGAGAUUUCAGAAGAGGUACCCUGUCAUUCCAACUGUCCUAACAAGGGUCCACUGGUGGCGGCUUUGUUUGGAUGAAGCUCAGAUGGUAGAGUCCAGCAAAACUUCUGUUACUGAGAUGGCGAUGAGGCUAAAUGCGCAACACCGUUGGUGUAUUACAGGAACUCCAAUACAACGCAGGCUUGAUGAUCUUUUUGGCCUUCUAUGCUUUCUCAGAACAAGUCCAUUUGACACAUAUAGGUGGUGGGUGGACGUUAUAAGAGACCCAUAUGAGAGGGGAGAUAUGAUAGCUAUGAAUUAUACACACAAGUUCUUCAAGGAAAUCAUGUGGCGCUCUUCUAAAAUUCAUGUUUCGCGGGAAUUACAGCUACCUCCACAAGAAGAGUGUUUCUCGUGGCUCAUCUUUUCUUCAAUUGAAGAAUAUUUCUAUCAGAAGCAGCAUGCAACUUGCAUGGACCAUGCACAUGAAAUUAUUAAACGUUUAAGAAAUGAUGCGAACAGAAGGGAAGUAACAUCAGAUUCAAAUGCUUUAUCAAAUGUGUACCUCUCCAACAGCGACACUGCCAAACUUCUAGUCCCACUGCUCAAGCUUCGGCAGGCCUGUUGCCAUCCGCAAGUGGGGAGUUCUGGUCUCUGCUCUCUGCAACAUACUCCUCUGUCCAUGGAAGAAAUUUUGCAGGUUCUUAUUGGUAAAGCAAAAGUUGAAGGGGAGGAAGAACUUAGAAAAGUUGUUGUUUCCCUGAAUGGUCUUGCUGGAAUUGCUAUCAUUGAACAAAAGAACCAAGAAGCUAUCUCUUUGUACAAAGAAGCACUAGAUUUAGCUCGCCAAAAUUUUGAUGAUUUCCGUGUUGACCCGUUGUUGAAUCUUCAUAUCAACCACAAUCUUGCGGAGCUGCUCAGAACUAGUUCCGAAUAUUUGCAUGAAUGCACACCAAAAAUACAACCUCCUGUUGUCUAUUACAGACGUAAAAGAAAGGAAACUAGCCAUGCGGAUUCAGAUCUAUGUGGUGUAAAGCGAAAUAAGAUAUCCGAGAACAUCGGCUCAGUUUUAGCAGCUGGUAGUCCUGAAACCUCUGAGUGCAAAAAUGUUGUUGGACAAGCAUCCAUAAGUGUGGAGUUGGAUGCAGAGAAUCGUACUGGCUGCCACUCGUCAUCUGAGUGUUUUGCUGAUGGUUGCUUGAGAAAGAAAUGCAACACACUCAAAGAAAAAUAUUUAUCAGUUUUUACUACAAAGCUAUUAAUAGCACAGAAAGAUUUCAGUGCAUCGUUUGAAGAGGUCACAACUCUUAAUAAAGAACUACAAAAUCAGGGUAUGGGUUGGUGGUUAUACGCUUUGGAUUGCAUUGAGAAGAGCAAGGAUGCUACCGAUGACCUUUUUAAGAAGAUCAAUAGUUUAUCCACCAAGAGCACCACUGGCUUGGGCACAGGGGCGCUAUCGUCUUCCAGGGUUCAAACUAUUGCUGGCUUGAAGUAUACUAUUCAAGCUGGUAUUGAUUCCCUGGAAGGUUCAAGGCAACAAUUAAUGGUUAGGCUAUUGGAAAUUGACAAAACAAUGGAUAACCCAAGGGAAGAGGACAUUGAGAGUCAGAGAUAUUGUCCAAAGUGCUAUGAUGGUACUGGUUCUUUGUGCAUCCAGUGUGAAUUAGAUGAGCUGUCUCAGGGGUAUGAGGCACGACUCUUUGUUGUUAAGAAAUCGAACAAUGAUUCUGUUAUUGCUUCAGUAGAAGAAGCACAGGAUUUGCAGAGGCGAACCUAUGAGUUGAAUCACUUUUUCCGUAACAAAAAAACUAAUGAAGGAUCCGAAGUUGGUGGCAACAAUGUUAAUCCAAGAUCUGUUCGGGAAAAUAUACAGGUCUACAGGCAUCCUUCUCAAACCGAGACUGCUUUAAGGGCUAUCCGAAGCCACUCAAGGAGAGUGUUGGGAAAGCAAUAUGUUGAAAUUGGUACGAAGCAUUUACUUCUUUUUGAGGCUAUGCGCAAGGAGUUUUCUCUUGCAAGGAGUUUGUCAAUUGCUCAGAAUCAAUUAUUGCGUGCUCAUGACGAGAUCAAGAUGUCUAUCUCACGGUUGCAGCUCAAAGAGAAUGAUGAUGAGCCCAGUGCUGUCAAUAUUGUAACAAGAGAAGAGCUUAUUCCAUACAACGUACAGUUCACAAGUGACAAGUUCUUGGCUCUAACAUCUUUAGCUCGUAUAAGAGGUCAACUCCGGUACUUGAAGGGAUUGAUGCUGCCAAAGUCAGGCAACAUUGUUGCUACAGCGACUUCCUUCCCUGCCACAGAACAAAUUGGUUCUGAGAUUAGCAAUGAAUCAUGCCCAGUUUGUCAGGAGAAAAUUCUCGAGCAGAAAAUGGUUUUCCAAUGUGGCCACUCCAUGUGCUGCAAGUGCUGUUUGUACCUGACAGAUCGAGCUGCUGGGAAGCACAAAAAAUGGAUCAUGUGCCCUACAUGCCGUCAACGUACAUAUCUUGAGAAUGUUGCUUUUGUGGUUGAGAAGCAGAGUGAAAAUGCUGAUAAACAAGCUGAUGAUUUGAUAGAAGCCGCUAUUUCUGUCCAAGGCUCAUAUGGAACAAAGAUUGAAGCUGUGACAAGAAGAAUUUUGAAUAUCAUUUCAACUGAUGGGGCAGCCAAAAUACUUGUUUUUUCAAGUUGGAAUGAUGUCCUUGAUGUAUUAGAGCAUUCCCUUGCUGCUAACAAUGUAUGUUAUGCUCGGAUGAAAGGCGGAAGGAAAUCACAAUUGGCGCUCUGUCAAUUUAAAGGCCUGGCAUCCAGUAUAAAUGGAGAGAAAGCGAAGAAGGCAGUUUCCAAAAUGCGGCCUGUUCAAGUAUUGCUAAUGCUUAUCCAGCAUGGCGCAAACGGUCUGAAUCUACUGGAAGCACAGCAUGUAAUUCUACUGGAGCCAUUACUAAACCCAUCAGCGGAGGCACAAGCUAUCAGUAGGAUCCAUAGAGUCGGGCAAGACAAGAGCACAUUCAUCCACCGGUUUAUAGUGAAGAAAACAAUAGAAGACAGCAUAUACAAAAUGAACAGGGGCAGAGCUGUCUGCUCCACGAUCAACCGCAAGUCGAAAAACUUCAAAGACGAGCUUGCUCUGACGCUGAAGGAUGUUGAGUCACUAUUUCCUGUGGCAGCAUCUGAUCAACCUCCGGAGGAGGACGAUAAGGAUCAUGGUGAUACCUUGAGGAGUUUACCCCCGUCUCUUGCUGCGGGGCUGGCUGCUCAAAUGAGGGUCAUCAAUGGAGCAACAUGAUUAAUCACCAUGAUGUUAACAGAGGUAGUCUUGGUGUAACCGGAAAUUCCAGUGCUCGUAAGAAUCUCCAGGUUACAGGAGACGACGCUAAUUUUAGAUGAAUGGAGACGGUAUGGUCAUGAAUUUCUGGCAUCACCGAUUGAAUGGCGUAGAGCACUGGAGUCGGUGUCGUUGUGAGGGUGUAGUUUAGGGGGACGGUGAACUUGUGAUUCUUUUGUCAUGUGUCGUGAACCAUCUCAUUUUCUAUCUUUGUCAUGGUGAUUCUGCCAUACAAGUCGUGUCAGUCCAUAUUGGAAGCAGCCAGCCUCGCAGCAAGAGACGGGGGUAAACUCUUCAAGGUAUCACCAUGAUCCUUAUCGUCCUCCUCUGGAUGUUGAUUAGAUGUUGCCACAGGAAAUAGUGACUCAACAUCCUUUAGCGUUAGAGCAAGCUCGUUUUUGAAGUUUUUUCGACUUGUGGUUGAUUGUGAAGCACACAGCUCUGCCCUUGUUCAUUUUGUAUAUGCUGUCUUCUAUUGUUUUUUUCACUUGAACACCAGUAGUUCUUUGAGUUUUUUCUCUCUCCAAGAACACUUUCAAUGAAAUAAAUGAGCAUAGGAUGCGAUGCUUACUAUAAA